GAUUAUUUAGUUUAUAUAAAACAAAUGUUUUGAAAACAUUAAAAAAGAAUUACCUAUCUUAAUAAUUG
rnacentral:tRNA from 1 species